AACCAGAGGGGCCAGCGCCAUGGCCUCCCGCUAGUGCGGGGAGGGGGGGCGGUUCUCAGCGGCACUUCCCUUCAAUCAAAGGCGGAGUGGUUUAACCAGUUCUGACACACGUGGAACCCCGGCGACUGUUAGCUGGGCCCCUGCUGCUCGCCCCUGGACAGCCCGAUGCCUGCACUGCCAAGGUUAGGCUGGGGCUGGGGCCAGGAGUUGGCCGCAAUCCAGGUCUCCAGGUGAAAGGCAUGAACCCGAAUCCUGAGCCAUCACCGCUGCCGCCCAGGGUGCGCACUGGCAGGAAGCUGGGUCAGCUGCGCCACCCAACUCAGCCUGAGCCUGAGCAAGAAGCUGGUUCUUAGCUGUAAAAGACCCCCGAUGGAGCCCCUAGAGACGUUCCCAAACCCGCACACGCCCAGAACGCUCCAGGCCAACCAACACGUGACUCCACUGGGCAAGCCGUCGUGGGCAACGUCGCCAUUUUGAGCGCGUCGUGCGCAAAAAGGAGCAAGCGCGCCUGCGCAGAACGCUGAGCCCGUGCAAACUGAGGGGCCGAGCGCGAGGGGCACGAGCGCGGGCCUGGGGGGGCGUGGCCACACCGCCCGGACCUAAUGGAGCCCCGGUCCGCGCCUGUGCGAGUCGGUGUGCGCCGCGUCUGAGCGGAAGCUGCCUGGGCGCCUCGUCGGGGCGAACGUCGGGCUCUUGUCCGCUUCUGCUGCAGCUCUCUGCUAGGGCCUGGGGAAGCAGUGGAAGAUGGCCCAGGUGCUUGGGCCCCUGCACCCACGUGGGAGACCCGGAAGAAGCCCCUGGCGCAGCUCUGGCCAUGGCAGCCAUUUGGGGAGUGAACCAACGGAAGGAAGACCUUUCUCCCCAUCUCUCCCUCUCACUGUCUAUAACUCUACCACUCUACCUCUCAAAUGAAUAAGAUAAUAAUAAUAAUAAUAAUAAUAA